rnacentral:rRNA from 1 species
AGUGAACGCUGGCGGUAGGCCUAACACAUGCAAGUCGAACGGCAGCACAGUAAGAGCUUGCUCUUACGGGUGGCGAGUGGCGGACGGGUGAGGAAUACAUCGGAAUCUACUUUUUCGUGGGGGAUAACGUAGGGAAACUUACUCUAAUACCGCAUACGACCUACGGGUGAAAGCAUGGGAUCUUCGGACCUUGCGCGAUUGAAUGAGCCGAUGUCGGAUUAGCUAGUUGGCGGGGUAAAGGCCCACCAAGGCGACGAUCCGUAGCUGGUCUGAGAGGAUGAUCAGCCACACUGGAACUGAGACACGGUCCAGACUCCUACGGGAGGCAGCAGUGGGGAAUAUUGGACAAUGGGCGCAAGCCUGAUCCAGUCAUACCGCGUGGGUGAAGAAGGCCUUCGGGUUGUAAAGACCUUUUGUUGGGAAAGAAAAGCAGCAGGUUAAUACCCCGCUGUUCUGACGGUACCCAAAGAAUAAGCACCGGCUAACUUCGUG